rnacentral:rRNA from 1 species
AUUGAACGCUGGCGGCAGGCCUAACACAUGCAAGUCGAGCGAGCGGCGGACGGGUGAGUAAUAAAUGGGGAUCUCCCCCAUAGGGGGGGAUAACUACUGGAAACGCUGUCUAACACCGCGUACUACCGGAGAUUCCCAUAGGGGAUUAGCUCGUAGGUGGGGUAACGGCGCACCUAGGCGACGAUCCCUAGCUGGUCUGUGCGGAUGAUCAGCCACACUGGGACUGAGACACGGUCCAGACUCCUACGGGAGGCAGCAGUGGGGAAUAUUGCACAAUGGGCGCAAGCCUGAUGCAGCCAUGCCGCGUGUAUGAAGAAGGCCCUCGGGUUGUAAAGUACUUUCAGUCGGGAGGCGGUACCGGCAGAAGAAGCACCGGCUAACUCCGUGCCAGCCGCCGCGGUAAUAC